CUUUUUUACCUUCCGGAUACAAGCUCUGCUGCCUAGGACGUUCGUCUGCCCAGAGGUGGAACGCGACAAGAUACAGACACGCAGUCAGAUUAGUGAUCAAAUGUUUUGUUUCCAUCAUCAUUGUAAACAUUGGCUAAGCAGGAAGCAGACAGGCUAUCAAAGAAGUAGUGAUCUUUUUGUCAUGAACUACCAUAUGGUAGAAACUAUAAAGAUUAGCCUAACUAAACACACAAAAAUCUGAUUGUUUUUGCUUCAAUGUGACUUUCCACAGCAUGAUUCUUCUCCAGUAACGUAGAGUGGCUGAAAAUGCACUUCGGGGAUGAAAUUUCACUUCCUUAUCUUAUAAAAUACAUCUUUUUUUUACCAAGACAAAUAUGAUUUUUCAUGUUCUGAAUUAUUCAAUAGGGUCUUUCUCUAACAUACAGUAUCAUUAACAUGAUAUUCAACCUGUCAGAUGUCCUGACCUAUAAUACAUCUGAUAAUAAACACCAAGCUCUGUUGGCAUAGCAGUGCAGGUUUCUCGUAACUUUUGAGGAUUUUACAUGUUGUGGUCAUCGUCUUCAAAGUUGUUUUAACGGGUCGGAAAAAGACAAACUGGCAUGACAUGAGCUGAAGUAAAUUUAAAAGGUUUUGAAAAAAUAAAGCUUGGUAUUCAAUCAGUGUUCGGCUGACAUUUCAUAUGCAAUUUUCCUGAUUUAGUCACUCUAAUUUUGGCCAUUUUACAAGGGUGAAAACUCCAAUAACUUUUGAACGGAUUAUGUUAGAGACAUGAGGUUUGGACCAUGGGGUUUCUUAGCUCAUUGAUUGGACACCUUAAGUAAUGCUAGAAUUUGAUAAGUUGAUUCCGAUUCUGACUAGAUGUCACAUUGCCGGUAGACUAACAGUGUUGACGCCACGUUACAGGUGGACUAACAGUGUUGACGACACGUUACAGGCAGACUAACAGUGUGGACGCCACGUUACAGGUGAACUAACAGUGUUGACGACACGUUACAGGCAGACUAACAGUGUGGACGCCACGUUACAGGUGGACUAACAGUGUUGACGACACGUUACAGGUAGACUAACAGUGUUGACGCCACGUUACAGGCGGACUAACAGUGUUGACGACACGUUACAGGCAGACUAACAGUGUUGGGGAAGUUACAGGUAGACUAACAGUGUUGACGCCACGUUACAGGUGGACUAACAGUGUUGACGCCACAUUACAGGUAGACUAACAGUGUUGACGCCACGUUACAGGUAGACUAACAGUGUUGGGGAAGUUACAGGUAGACUAACAGUGUUGGGGAAGUUACAGGUAGACUAACAGUGUUGGGGAAGUUACAGGUAGACUAACAGUGUUGGGGAAGUUACAGGUAGACUAACAGUGUUGUGGAAGUUACAGGUGGACUAACAGUGUUGGGGAAGUUACAGGUGGACUAACAGUGUUGGCGUCACAUUACAGGUAGACUAACAGUGUUGACGCCACGUUACAGGUGGACUAACAGUGUUGGGGAAGUUACAGGUAGACUAACAGUGUUGGGGAAGUUACAGGUAGACUAACAGUGUUGGGGAAGUUACAGGUGGACUAACAGUGUUGGGGAAGUUACAGGUGGACUAACAGUGUUGACGUCACGUUACAGGUGGACUAACAGUGUUGACGCCACGUUACAGGUAGACUAACAGUGUUGGGGAAGUUACAGGUGGACUAACAGUGUUGACGUCACGUUACAGGUGGACUAACAGUGUUGACG
rnacentral:lncRNA from 1 species